ACCAGAACCUAUAAAAGUGCUCGUAGGACAAGUCUGUUCUGUCUCUGUGGAAAGAUUAAAGUAUUGACCAUCUUCCAGCCUGAGAGUCAGCUGGUGUCACAAGAGCACUCUGCCUCCGCUCCAGCUCUGUGCCUUGCUGCAUGUCAUAAACCACAGCCAUGUCGACAGACGCCGAGAUGGCCAUCUUUGGGGAG